GAGACCCUCACCUUUAGUUGCCAGCGGGUCCCAACGGGACGCCGGGCACACUAAAGGAACCGCCGUCGAUAAGACGGAGGAAGGGGAGGGCUACGGCAGGUCAGUAUGCCCCGAAUGCCCUGGGCCACACGCGGGCUGCAAUGGUGGGGGCAAUGGGUUCCGACCUCGAAAGAGGAAGGUAAUCUCUAAACCCCACCUCAGUUGGGAUUGAGGGCUGAAACCCGUCCUCAUGAACAUGGAAUCCCUAGUAACCGCACGUCAUCAUCGUGCGGUGAAUAC
rnacentral:rRNA from 1 species